rnacentral:rRNA from 1 species
GACGAACGCUGGCGGCGUGCUUAACACAUGCAAGUCGAACGGUGGAGCGCCUUCCUUUUUGGUGGGUGUGUAUCAGUGGCGAACGGGUGAGUAACACGUUAGUAACCUGCCCCCUUCUUCUGAAUAACCGCAUGACAGAGUUGCUAAUACGGGAUAUUCUGGGUCUGUCGCAUGAUGGGUCUGGGAAAGAUAUUGUUUCGGUUGGGGAUGGGCUCGCGGCCUAUCAGCUUGUUGGUGUGGUGAUGGCCUACCAAGGCGGUGACGGGUAGCCGGCCUGAGAGGGUGGGCGGUCAUACAGCGACUGCGCCGCCGAGCCGCCUACGAGGGGCGGCAGCAGGGGGGAAUAGUGCAUAGGGGGAGGCAGCCUGAUGCAGCGACGCGUGGGGGGGGAUGGUGGCCUGCGGGUUGUGAACCUCUUUCGCCAGUGAAGCAGGCCGGCCUUGUUUGUGCGUGGCUUGACGGUAGCUAGACAGGAAGCGCCGGCUAACUACGUG